rnacentral:rRNA from 1 species
CCCUACGGGGUGCACCAGGGAGCCCAAAAAUCCAUGAUGACGGGUGUCUGCAUGGAAAAUUGGCUUACCUCGUAUUCACAGGUCUCGUUGUUUACAUCGAUGAUAUUGUCUGGUGUCAUGUGGCUCACCCGGUCUAAUUCUAUCAGUUUCCCGGCCGCGGGAGGGGGUUACUCCUCCCCAUCACCAUCCGUCACAGUCGGUUGAUGGAUUUGAACGACGUCGCCAUGAAAAUCCACCACGGCUUUAAAACCCAUCAUGUUCAGGUAUGCGCGGGCCUCCUGGGGAAUCCCGGUUGUUUGAAGCGUCUGGAACUUUUUUUCGGUGUUUUCCAUCUGGCUGCGGAUGACCGCGAUGGAGAAGAUGUCAUCCUGCCCCAUCAUAUGGGCUGCCUGUUCGCUCAAAACAUCUUCCAUGCCCUUAAUCGGGCGGGAGGGC